rnacentral:rRNA from 1 species
UACGGAGGGGACUAGCGUUGUUCGGAAUUACUGGGCGUAAAGCGCGUGUAGGCGGCCCUGCAAGUCGGAUGUGAAAUCCCACGGCUCAACCAUGGAAGUGCAUUCGAAACUGCAGAGCUAGAGUCCUGGAGAGGAAGGUGGAAUUCCUGGUGUAGCGGUGAAAUGCGCAGAUAUCAGGAAGAACACCCGUGGCGAAGGCGGCUCUCUGGGGACGGUACUGACGCUGAGACGCGAAAAGCGUGGGGGAGCGAAACAGGG